rnacentral:sRNA from 1 species
GCCAGGCAUGGUGGCGCAUGCCUGUAAUCCCAGCUACCUGGGAGGCCGAGGCAGGAGAAUCACUUGAACCCAGGAGGCGGAGGUUGCAGUGAGCUGAGAUCAUGCCACUGCACUCCAGCCUGGGCAACAAGAGUGAAACUCUGUCUCAA